rnacentral:rRNA from 1 species
UACGUAGGGGGCAAGCGUUGUCCGGAUUUAUUGGGCGUAAAGAGCGUGUAGGCGGUUUGGUAGGUCCGUUGUGAAAACUCGAGGCUCAACCUCGAGACGCCGAUGGAAACCAUCAGACUAGAGUCCGGAAGAGGAGAGUGGAAUUCCUGGUGUAGCGGUGAAAUGCGCAGAUAUCAGGAGGAACACCGGUGGCGAAGGCGGGUCUCUGGGCAGUAACUGACGCUGAGGAGCGAAAGCGUGGGGAGCGAACAGG